AUUAGAUACCCUGGUAGUCCACACUGUAAACGAUGAUAACUAGGUGUGGGGGGUCUGACCCCUUCCGUGCCGCAGCUAACGCAAUAAGUUAUCCACCUGGGGAGUACGACCGCAAGGUUGAAACUCAAAGGAAUUGACGGGGACCCGCACAAGCAGUGGAUUAUGUGGUUUAAUUCGAAGCAACGCGAAGAACCUUACCAGCACUUGACAUCCUACUAACGAAAUGGAGACAUAUUAGGUGCCCUUCGGGGAAAGUAGAGACAGGUGGUGCAUGGUUGUCGUCAGCUCGUGUCGUGAGAUGUUGGGUUAAGUCCCGCAACGAGCGCAACCCCCGCCAUUAGUUGCUACGCAAGAGCACUCUAAUGGGACCGCUACCGACAAGGUGGAGGAAGGUGGGGACGGCGUCAAAUCAUCAUGCCCCUUAUGUGCUGGGCUACACACGUAAUACAAUGGCGCAAACAGAGGGAAGCGGAGCGGUGACGGCGAGCGAAUCCCAAAAAGUGCGUCCCAGUUCGGAUUGUAGUCUGCAACUCGACUACAUGAAGCCGGAAUCGCUAGUAAUCGCGGAUCAGAAUGCCGCGGUGAAUACGUUCCCGGGUCUUGUACACACCGCCCGUCACACCAUGGGAGCCGGAAAUGCCCGAAGUCAGUGACCCAACCAAUAAGGAGGGAGCUGCCGAAGGCAGGUCUGGUGACUGGGGUGAAGUCGUAACAAGGUACC
rnacentral:rRNA from 1 species